AACGUAGGUGGCGAGCGUUAUCCGGAUUUACUGGGCGUAAAGCGUGUGCAGGCGGGGGUACAAGUGGUGUAUGAAAUUUCCCAGCUUAACUGGGAAGGGUUAUGCCAGACUGUACUUCUGGAGUGCGAGAGAGGGGCGUGGAAUUCCGGGUGUAGUGGUGAAAUGCGCAGAGAUCCGGAGGAACCCCAGAGGCGAAGGCGGCGCCCUGGCUCGCAACUGACGCUCAGACACGACAGCAUGGGGAGCGAACGGG
rnacentral:rRNA from 1 species